rnacentral:tmRNA from 1 species
GGGGUCGACCGGUUUUGACAGCAUAGGGUCUUUGAUAGUGUAAGCAUGUCGUGCGUUGUGUAAUUAGCACGUAAAUCUGAAUGCUCAAAAUUUAAAUGGCGAAAAUAACUACGCCAUGGCUGCCUAAUCAGAGAUUAGACACCAUUAUAGCCGCCGAUUACUGCCGCCCGCUGCAGUGUCCGCCGCUGAAUCAUAAAACUUAGUGGGAUAGGCUUUCAUGGUUUCUGUGAGUGAGGGCUGAAACUCAAACGGAUAAGGACGAAGUUGGUGUGUUGUGUUCCUGCCAAGUCCCGACAAACUAAUGCACAAAUAAGCAUGUAGAAAGCUAUCGGAGAAUAUGUUUGGACGCGGGUUCGAAUCCCGCCGACUCCACAA